rnacentral:rRNA from 1 species
AUUGAACGCUGGCGGCAGGCCUAACACAUGCAAGUCGAGCGGGCGGCGGACGGGGGAGUAAUGUAUGGGGAUCUGCCCGAUAGGGGGGGAUAACUACUGGAAACUGUAGCAAAUACCGCGUACCAAAGGAUGAGCCAAAGGGGGAUUAGUUAGUUGGUGAGGAAAAGGCACACCAACCGACGAUCUCUAGCUGGUCGGAGAGGAUGACCAGCCACACUGGGACUGAGACUCGGCCCAGACUCCUACGGGAGGCAGCCGUAGGGAAUAUUGCGCAAUGGGUUCAACCCUGACGCAGACAUGCCGCAUGAAUGAAGAAGGCCUUCGGGUUGUAAAGUUCUUUCGUGAGCGAGGCGUUAGCUACAGAAGGAGCACCGGCUAACUCCGUGCCAGCAGCCGCGGUAAUAC